GAUCCUGGCUCAGGAUGAACGCUGGCGGCGUGCUUAACACAUGCAAGUCGAACGAUUAAACCGCCCUCGGGCGGACAUAGAGUGGCGAACGGGUGAGUAACACGUGACCAACCUGCCCCCGCACUCCGGGAUAACCUGCGGAAACGCAGGCUAAUACCGGAUACUCCGCGCAGGCCGCAUGGCCCGCGCGGGAAAGCCCUUACGGUGCGGGAUGGGGUCGCGGCCCAUUAGGUAGACGGCGGGGUGACGGCCCACCGUGCCCGCGAUGGGUAGCCGAGCUGAGAGGCUGACCGGCCACAUUGGGACUGAGAUACGGCCCAGACUCCUACGGGAGGCAGCAGUGGGGAAUUUUGCGCAAUGGGGGCAACCCUGACGCAGCAACGCCGCGUGCGGGAAGAAGGCCUUCGGGUUGUAAACCGCUUUCAGCGGGGACGAUAAUGACGGUACCCGCAGAAGAAGCUCCGGCUAACUACGUGCCAGCCGCAGC
rnacentral:rRNA from 1 species